rnacentral:rRNA from 1 species
GGUUUACGACCUCGAUGUUGGAUCAGGAUUAGACCCACCUAGAGGAGCCUGUUCUAGAACCGAUAACCCCCGUUAAACCUCACCCNNUCUCUUNGUCAUUNUCCGCCUAUAUACCGCCGUCGUCAGCUUACCCUGUGAAGGAACUAUAGUAAGCAAAACUAGUAANAACCCAAANNACGCCAGGUCGAGNGUGUAGCUANUGGAAGGGAAGAAAUGGGCUACAUUCCCUACCCNCAGGGNAACACGAAAAUAUGAUGAAAGNAACAUUAGAAGGAGGAUUUAG